CACGUAGGGCGCAAGCGUUGUCCGGAAUUAUUGGGCGGAAAGAGCUCGUAGGCGGUCCGUCACGUCCGCUGUGAAAACCCAGGGCUCAACCCUGGGCUUGCAGUGGAUACGGGCAGACUAGAGGUAGGUAGGGGAGAAUGGAAUUCCCGGUGUAGCGGUGAAAUGCGCAGAUAUCGGGAGGAACACCGGUGGCGAAGGCGGUUCUCUGGGCCUUACCUGACGCUGAGGAGCGAAAGCGUGGGGAGCGAACAGG
rnacentral:rRNA from 1 species